GUUCCUGUAGCGCAAUGGAUAGCGCGUUGGACUUUGAAUCGAAAGGUCAUGGGUUCGAAUCCCACCUGGAAUG
rnacentral:tRNA from 1 species